AGUGAACGCUGGCGGUAGGCCUAACACAUGCAAGUCGAACGGCGGCACAGUAAGAGCUUGCUCUUACGGGUGGCGAGUGGCGGACGGGUGAGGAAUACAUCGGAAUCUACUUUUUCGUGGGGGAUAACGUAGGGAAACUUACGCUAAUACCGCAUACGACCUACGGGUGAAAGCAGGGGAUCUUCGGACCUUGCGCGAUUGAAUGAGCCGAUGUCGGAUUAGCUAGUUGGCGGGGUAAAGGCCCACCAAGGCGACGAUCCGUAGCUGGUCUGAGAGGAUGAUCAGCCACACUGGAACUGAGACACGGUCCAGACUCCUACGGGAGGCAGCAGUGGGGAAUAUUGGACAAAGGGCGCAAGCCUGAUCCAGCCAUACCGCGUGGGUGAAGAAGGCCUUCGGGUUGUAAAGCCCCUUUGUUGGGAAAGAAAAGCAGCAGGUUAAUACCCCGCUGUUCUGACGGUACCCAAAGAAUAAGCACCGGCUAACUUCGUG
rnacentral:rRNA from 1 species